rnacentral:rRNA from 1 species
AUUGAGCGCUGGCGGCAGGCCUAACACAUGCAAGUCGAGCGGAUGAACGGAGCUUGCUCCCGGAUUCAGCUGCCGACGGGUGAGUAAUGCCCAGGAAUCUGCCUUGCAGUGGGGGAUAACGUCCGGAAACGGGCGCUAAUACCGCAUCCGUCCAUAUGUAAAAAGUGGGGGAUCUUUGGACCUCACGCUUUCAGCUGAGCCUAGGUCGGAUUAGCUAGUUGGUGGGGUAAAGGCCUACCAAGGCGACGAUCCGUAGCUGAUCUGAGAGGAUGAUCAGCCACACUGGAACUGAGACACGGUCCAGACUCCUACGGGAGGCAGCAGUGGGGAAUAUUGGACAAUGGGCGAAAGCCUGAUCCAGCAAUGCCGCGUGUGUGAAGAAGGUCUUCGGAUUGUAAAGCACUUUUAGUGGGGAAGAAGAGCAGUAAGUUAAUACCUGGCUGUUUUGACGGUACCAACAGAAUAAGCACCGGCUAACUUCGUG